CAUGGUACCAACAAAAAGCAGAUGCUGCUCCUCAGUUUCUGCUUCGUAAUGACAUAAGAGCGAGUGAUUUACCCGACAGGUUCACUUACACUGACUCGGGCAAUCAGGAUUAUCUGACCAUCGAUGGAGUGAGAGCUGAAGAUGAAGCAGUUUAUUUCUGUGCUUGUUUUGACAGUACAGGAGAGCCACAGUGCUCCAAUCCAACAGAGCCGUCGUACAAAAACCUCCUGCAUCACCUCCUCUGAAGCGUGUGCUCAGAAACCUCCAUGACUGUGAAGAGUGGUGAAGUGUUCAGAUUACAGUGCUGAGGUUUUUGUACUGAGCUCGAACACCGUGAGCCUAUGUGUUCGCUCAAGGCACCAACCUUGUGAUAUCUGAGCGUCCGUCGUCUCCUCCGUCCCUGCUCCUGCUGGCUCCUGCUUCUCCGCUCUCUGAGGGUGAUGUCAGUGUGGUGUGUGUGGCUCAGGGCUUUUACCCUGACAGUGUCACCGUGUCCUGGUCUGAGGACAGCAGCGGCGUGACGGGUGAUGAGGUGCAGACGGCUCCGUAUCAGCGUCAGGCCGACGGCACCUUCUCCCAGACCAGCGUCCUGAAGCUCGGUAAGCAGCGCUGGAGCUCCGGGAAAACCUACACGUGCCGCCUGAGCCACCCGGCGCUUUCCACACCGCUGAGCCAGAGCACCAGCCUGAACCAGUGCAUGUAGAGAGAUCACAGAGCUGCAAUACUGUGACCAUCAAUAAACAUGCAUUAAAGAAGUCCACUUGUUCUUUACUUGCUUGCUCUAGAAAAGUAUACAAUAAUAAAGUUAUAUUGUAAUUGUUAA